UUACUUACCUGAAUGGGGUCAAUGGGUGAUCGUGAAGAUCCAUGGCCUAGGCUUGUGACCUUCAUUGCACUUUAGAGGGGUGCCUGCCUAAGGUGGGCCCAAGUGGUUCAGCGUACGUCAUAAUUUGUUGCUGAGGGGGCCGGCGUUCGUGUGGCCCCCAC
rfam:Solanum lycopersicum cultivar Heinz 1706 chromosome 6, whole genome shotgun sequence.